UAAGCGGAGGAAAAGAAACUAACAAGGAUUCCCUUAGUAACGGCGAGUGAACCGGGAAGAGCUCAAAUUUGAAAUCUGGCAGUCUUCGAUUGUCCGAGUUGUAAUCUAUAGAAGCGUUUUCCGUGCUGAACUGUGUAUAAGUCCCUUGGAACAGGGUAUCAAAGAGGGUGACAAUCCCGUACUUUACACAAUCAUCAGUGCUCUGUGAUACGUUCUCUACGAGUCGAGUUGUUUGGGAAUGCAGCUCAAAAUGGGUGGUAAAUUCCAUCUAAAGCUAAAUAUUGGCGAGAGACCGAUAGCGAACAAGUACCGUGAGGGAAAGAUGAAAAGCACUUUGGAAAGAGAGUUAAACAGUACGUGAAAUUGUUGAAAGGGAAACGAUUGAAGUCAGUCGUGUUCAUUGGAUUCAGCCGGUCUUCGGUGUAUUUCCUUUGAACGGGUCAACAUCAGUUUUGUCCGGUGGAUAAAGGUAAUAGGAAGGUGGCUCCUCCGGGAGUGUUAUAGCCUAUUGCCCAUACACUGGGUGAGACUGAGGACUGCAGCUUGCCUUUAUGGCCGGGGUUCGCCCACGUUCAAGCUUAGGAUGUUGACAUAAUGGCUUUAAACGACCCGUCUUGAAACACG
rnacentral:rRNA from 1 species